rnacentral:rRNA from 1 species
CGGGUGAGUAACGCGUGAGGAACCUGCCUCAAAGAGGGGGACAACAGUUGGAAACGACUGCUAAUACCGCAUAAGCCCACGGCUCGGCAUCGAGCAGAGGGAAAAGGAGUGAUCCGCUUUGAGAUGGCCUCGCGUCCGAUUAGCCAGUUGGUGAGGUAACGGCCCACCAAGGCAACGAUCGGUAGCCGGACUGAGAGGUUGAACGGCCACAUUGGGACUGAGACACGGCCCAG